rnacentral:rRNA from 1 species
UACGAAGGGGGCUAGCGUUGCUCGGAAUCACUGGGCGUAAAGGGUGCGUAGGCGGGUCUUUAAGUCAGGGGUGAAAUCCUGGAGCUCAACUCCAGAACUGCCUUUGAUACUGAAGAUCUUGAGUCCGGGAGAGGUGAGUGGAACUGCGAGUGUAGAGGUGAAAUUCGUAGAUAUUCGCAAGAACACCAGUGGCGAAGACGGCUCACUGGCCCGGUACUGACGCUGAGGUGCGAAAGCGUGGGGAGCAAACAGG